GGGUCAGUAGGUUGGUCGUGCCACCGGUACGUAGUGGUCUCACUGAUUCCUCCUUCCUGAAUAACCGUAAUGCCAUUAAUUUGGUGUUGCGGGGAAACAGGACUGUUACUUUGAAAAAAUUAGUGUGUUUAAAGCAAGCUAACGCUUGAAUACAUUAGCAUGGAAUAAUGAAAUAGGACGAUCGAUCCUAUUUUGUUGGUUUCUAGGAUUAACGUA
rnacentral:rRNA from 1 species